rnacentral:lncRNA from 1 species
AAUAAACCGAUAGAUCAACCAUGCCGUCUUGCAAACGGACCACAAGUGUUCCGUGCUUGGUAGCUGUGAUGGUCAUGGUGGUGGUUACAGUGAUGCUGUCUUGCGAUGCCUACAGUCGGUGCAUAUAUAAACGAUCAAGUCUUAAAUCUCUUAUAUGUAUUUUUAUUGUGUGCUAAUACUUUUUUUUUUCCAUUGUUUGUAGCUUUUUGCGAUGACAUUAUUGGAAAAUGCACCAUGGUGAACUGCAAGGCUCUAUGCAUUAAACAGGGUUUCGGGAAAGAACGUAUCCAUUGCGCAACUGAAGAUAAAUGUUGUUGUGAUUAUGGCCCGAAGUCUAAGCUCAUGGUCAACAUUGUAGACCGCGAUUGAUGGUAUAUUGCAUAUGUUGACAAUAAUAAAUAAAGUACAAAAAAUGUAUUACUACCUCCUUUCCGGUUUAUAAGGGUUGCGAAUAUAUCUACGUUGCCAAAUAAACCAAUAUAAUAGAAAUUAUAUAUCACAAACAAUAUAUCAUUAAAAAUUUCAGAUCAUAUAAUUGUAUAAUGGUAUAAUCUCGAGACUAUACAACUCAUUUUGUGUUGGUUAAAUUAUAUAUCUAGGGAUACGUGGAAGGCUUAUAAACCAGAAAAGUGGUAGUAUUAGAUGACUCUGGUACGUGACAGAUGAUAUGUAUAUUAUGUAUUCAUCUAUGCACAUUCUGCAUGA